rnacentral:rRNA from 1 species
GGGAAUCUGCCUUUUGGUUUGGAAUAACACGGGGAAACUUGUGCUAAUACCGAAUAAGCCCUUACGGGGAAAGUUUUAACGCCGAAAGAUGAGCCCGCACUUGAUUAGCUAGUUGGUAAGGUAAUAGCUUACCAAGGCAACGAUCAAUAGCUGUUCUUAGAGGAAGACCAGCCACAUUGGGACUGAGACACGGCCCAGACUCCUACGGGAGGCAGCAGUGGGGAAUCUUGCACAAUGGGGGAAACCCUGAUGCAGCGAUGCCGCGUGAGUGAAGAAGGCCUUUGGGUUGUAAAACUCUUUCGUCGGGGAAGAAAAUGACUGUACCCGAAUAAGAAGGUCCGGCUAACUUCGUGUCAGCAGCCGCGGUAAUACGAAGGGACCUAGCGUAGUUCGGAAUUACUGGGCUUAAAGAGCUCGUAGGUGGUUAAAAAAGUUGAUGGUGAAAUCCCAAGGCUCAACCUUGGAACUGCCAUCAAAACUUUUUAGCUAGAGUGUGAUAGAGGUAAGUGGAAUUUCUAGUGUAGAGGUGAAAUUCGUAGAUAUUAGAAAGAACACCAAAUGCGAAGGCAACUUACUGGGUCACUACUGACACUGAGGAGCGAAAGCAUGGGUAGCGAAGAGGAUUAGAUACCCUCGUAGUCCAUGCCGUAAACGAUGAGUGCUAGACGUUGGGAAUAUAUUUUUCAGUGUCGCAGCGAAAGCAUUAAGCACUCCGCCUGGGGAGUACG